rnacentral:rRNA from 1 species
UCCAAUCGAACCCGGAGAUAGCUGGUUCUCCCCGAAAUAGCUUUAGGGCUAGCGUCGAGAGAAGAGUUGCGUGAAGGUAGAGCACUGAAUAUGUGAUGGCCCCAUCUCGGGGUACUGAGCAUAAUCAAACUGCGAAUGUCACGCCAACAUGCUCGGCAGUCAGACAGCGGGUGAUAAGGUCCGUUGUCAAGAGGGAAACAGCCCAGACCAUCAGCUAAGGUCCCAAAAUGUAUGCUAAGUGGAAAAGGAUGUGGAGAUGUACAGACAACUAGGAGGUUGGCUCAGAAGCAGCCAUCCUUUAAAGAGUGCGUAACAGCUCACUAGUCGAAUGACUCUGCGCCGAUAAUUUACCGGGGCUAAGCAUACUACCGAAGCUAUGGAUCCCAAGGGAUGGUAGGGGAGCGUUCCAUGAACGGAGAAGUACGACCGAAAGGACGUGUGGAGAUCAUGGAAGAGAGAAUGCCGGUGUGAGUAGCGGAACGUGGGUGAGAAUCCCACGCACCGAAAACCCAAGGUUUCCAGAGGAAGGUUCGUCCGCUCUGGGUAAGUCGGGACCUAAGGCGAGGCCGAAAGGCGUAGUCGAUGGACAACAGGUAGAGAUUCCUGUACCCGUAUAUAUGUGAAGGAAUGACGGAGAGAGGAAGCUGCAGCCAGCGGCUGGAAGAGCUGGUGCAAGCGAGAUAUCGGGAUGGCAGGCAAAUCCACCAUCCGAAACGAGAAGGCGUGAAGCGUACGGAAAGCUACGGCGAGUACGGAAGGCAGUGGAGGAACUUCCAAGAAAAGUUUCUAACGUUAAGUAUAUAUGGCCCGUACCGAAAAUGGACACACAUGGGUGAGGAGAGAAUCCUAAGGUGAGCGAGAGAACUAUAGCUAAGGAACUCUGCAAAAUGACUCCGUAACUUAGGGAGAAGGAGUGCUCAUAGAGAUAUGAGCCGCAGUGAAACGGCCCAAGCGACUGUUUACCAAAAACACAGCUCUCUGCUAAGCCGCAAGGCGAAGUAUAGGGGGUGACGCCUGCCCGGUGCUGGAAGGUUAAGGGGAGGGGUUAACGCAAGUGAAGCCCUGAACUGAAGCCCCAGUAAACGGCGGCCGUAACUAUAACGGUCCUAAGGUAGCGAAAUUCCUUGUCAGGUAAGUUCUGACCCGCACGAAAGGCGUAACGAUUUGGGCGCUGUCUCAGCUGUAGACUCGGUGAAGUCUUAGUACCUGUGAAGAUGCAGGUUACCCGCGACUAGACGGAAAGACCCCAUGGAGCUUCACUGCAGGUUGAUAUUGGGAUUUGAUGCAGCAUGUACAGGAUAGGUAGGAGGCAAAGAGAUGGAUACGCCAGUAUUCAAGGAGCCGCUGUUGGGAUACUACCCCUGUUGUAUUGGAUUUCUAACCGGACGACGUAGAGCCGUUGACGGGACAGUGUCAGUCGGGCAGUUUGACUGGGGCGGUCGCCUCCCAAAGAGUAACGGAGGCGCCCAAAGAUACCCUCAGCUUGGAUGGAAACCAAGCGCAGAGUGCAAAGGCAAAAGGGUGUUUGACUGCGAGACCCACAAGUCGAGCAGGGACGAAAGUCGGGCUUAGUGAUCCGGCGGUGCUGAAUGGAAAGGCCGUCGCUCAACGGAUAAAAGCUACCCUGGGGAUAACAGGCUGAUCUCCCCCAA